UUCUAUUCUAUUCUAUUCUAUUCUAUUCUAUUCUAUUCUAUUCUAUUCUAUUCUAAUUCUAAUUCUAAUUCUAAUUCUAAUUCUAUUCUAUUCUUCCUUCUUGUUUCACGACCACCAUUAGCCCUUGAUUUUCAGCAGCUUCCAUGCAAACACGUUACGACAAGUUAUCCGCAGGUCCGUGCCCGGGCCCCAGGGUAACGGCACGUCUGCGCAGGGCGAUUGCUUCCCUGGGGAAAGGCGUCCGGGAGGAGCCGCCGCAGCGCGGACCGCGAAACCCGGCACUCGUGGAAGGGUUUAGGGCCCGUUUCCAACCGAAAUGUAUUUUUCGCAAAUGCCGAUCGCUCUCUAUCUGCUUUUCGCGGCGUUAGAGUCCAUAAACCCUUCUUCUGUCCUGAACAGCGCGGCUGCUUCCGCACGCUUAAACGGGAUCGCUUCRUAUUUUGGCUUUUGCAACUGCAGCCGAGGAGGGAGUCAUUUUUCUUUUCUUUUCCCGGCGUCAAAAUCCAAGCCUAGAGCCUGGCGGCCGGGCCGCUCCAGCGGUCUCUCUGCGCUGCCAGGCUUUAAAGCCGGGACUCGGCGCUUCCUGCCGCCCGGGAUGCUGUUCCUCGCUCCCGGGAAGCACACGUCCUUCCCCGGCCCGGAGCAACGUAAAGCCGCUCAUGGCUGCGAGAAAAAGCAGCUCGUGCACGGKUUUUUUUGGCCGACGUCGGAGCGGAGCGUUUCCCUGCACUCCGGAGGGCUGGCCUGAUCCGUUUGCCUCUCCGAAGCGUCCGUUCCCGAUUUACCAAAUCCCUCCUCAAAGCAGGCAGCUGGGGAAGGAAGCGUUUACAGAUGUGCUCCAGAGACGCGAGGGCGUCGGGGAGCCGCCGUGCUCCGCUCGCCGCGGGGGCGUUUCGGCGGCGACGAGCCCGGCCGCCGGAGCCGCCGGCGUCUCCAGCCCGGAUCUUCUGCAGAGGGCAGCACGACCCAGGAGAUCRGCUGCAGCUUCUGCCUCCCGCCGCCGCUUCCCGGCGGAAGACGGUGGAAAUGGGGCAAAGCCACGUUUGGCAGCAAAACGCUUUACGGAAUAUCCCGCUGCGGGUGAAGGGGGGGGGGAGGGAAGAUGGCGGCCGCCAGCGGCUGAGGGAGGAGGAGGAGGAGGAGAAGGAGGGAUCGAGGCCGCGGCGGGCGGCCUCCUCCGACGCCGCCCCCCUCGUCCUCCGUGCCCAGCUCCGCCCCGUCCCGCCGGGAGGGAGGCAGCGAGAGCGGCGAGCGAGCCGGAGCCCCGCAGCCGCUCCGCGCCGCGCCGCCGAGGCAAGGGGCCCCGGGUGCCCAGGAGCCCCGC
rnacentral:lncRNA from 1 species